AAUUAUUGGGUUUAAAGGGUCCGUAGGCGGGCCGAUAAGUCAGGGGGUGAAAGUCUGCCGCUCAACGGUAGAACUGCCUUUGAUACUGUCGGUCUUGAGUUAUAGUGAAGUUGCCGGAAUAUGUAGUGUAGCGGUGAAAUGCAUAGAUAUUACAUAGAACACCGAUUGCGAAGGCAGGUGACUAACAAUAUACUGACGCUGAGGGACGAAAGCGUGGGUAGCGAACAGGAUUAGAUACCCUGGUAGUCCACGCCGUAAACGAUCAUCACUCGCUGUUGGCGAUAUACUGUCAGCGGCCAAGCGAAAGUAUUAAGUGAUGCACCUGGGGAGUACGCCGGCAACGGUGAAACUCAAAGGAAUUGACGGGGGCCCGCACAAGCGGUGGAGCAUGUGGUUUAAUUCGAUGAUACGCGAGGAACCUUACCAGGGCUUAAAUGUAGUAUGACCGGUCUGGAAACAGGCCUUCCCUUCGGGGCAGAUUACAAGGUGCUGCAUGGUU
rnacentral:rRNA from 1 species